rnacentral:rRNA from 1 species
UACGUAGGCAGCGAGCGUUGUUCGGAAUUACUGGGCGUAAAGAGUGUGUAGGCGGUGCUCCCAGUCUGUUGUGAAAUCUCCCGGCUUAACUGGGAGGGUGCAUUAGAAACUGGAAUGCUAGAGGAUGGGAGAGGUAAGCGGAAUUCCUGGUGUAGCGGUGAAAUGCGUAGAUAUCAGGAGGAACACCUGUGGUGUAGACAGCUUACUGGACCAUUUCUGACGCUGAGACACGAAAGCGUGGGUAGCAAACAGG